CCGUAUCAGUUUGUUAUGACAAAUUUUAGCCUGAUAUCAUGUCAUGAAUGUUCGGAGAAGGUUCAGAUUUUUGUAGAAGCUGGGAGCACUGUGAUAGCUCGGGCUGGAUCAAGGUAUUUGCAGAAGGAACGAAGCUCAUAGUAAUACCUUCUGACAAAAGCCUUGAUGAGGACCUUUCUCCCAAGCCCACCAUUUUUCUUCCUUCUAUUGCUGAAACAAAUCUCCAUAAGGCUGGGACAUAUCUUUGUCUCCUUGAAAAAUUCUUCCCAGACAUUAUAAGGGUAUACUGGAAAGAAAAGGAUGGCGACAAGAUCCUGGAAUCCCGGGAAGGGAAUACACUGAAAACUAAUUACACGUACAUGAAACUUAGCUGGCUUACUGUGGCGGAAAAGUCAAUGCACAAAGAGCACAGAUGUAUUGUCAAACAUGAGAACAACAAAAAAGGAAUUGACCAAGAGAUUUCCUUUCCUCCAAUAAAAAAAGUUGCCAUGAGUACUGAACUUACAACUUGCUGGCAUGAAAAUGAAGUUUUCAAAACUGAGCAACAUCUGUAUAACUGAGCACACCUCUCUCCUGAUUCCAUCCUCUUCGAUAGUCUCCUCCCCCAGGAGCCUGAAGCAUCACAGCUCUGGUAAGGAUAGCUUGCAGCUUUUACCCGUUGUCCUUAUUGGCCUUGAACCAGCUAAUUCCCUGAAAGCCUCCACUUUAGACAUCCUGAAGAGCCUUCUUUACUGCUUGGAUUUUUGUCUUGUAUUUCACAUUCGAGAAAAUAAAUUUUCUAAAAAAUCA